CAAUAGCGUAUAUUAAAGUUGUUGCAGUUAAAAAGCUCGUAGUUGGAUUUCUGGUGGGAGCGAUCGGUCUGGCGCUUAGCGCGAGUACUUGCAUCGUCUCCGGCCAUCCUUGGGGAGAGUCUGUCUGGCAUUAAGUUGUCGGGCAGAGGAUCCUCAUCGUUUACUGUGAGAAAAUUAGAGUGUUCAAUGCAGGCUUAUGCCGUUGAAUAUAUUAGCAUGGAAUAAUAAGAUAGGACUUUGGUACUAUUUUGUUGGUUUGCGCACCAAAGUAAUGAUUAAUAGGGACAGUUGGGGGUAUUCGUAUUCCGUUGUCAGAGGUGAAAUUCUUGGAUUUACGGAAGACGAACUACUGCGAAAGCAUUUACCAAGGAUGUUUUCAUUAA
rnacentral:rRNA from 1 species